GCCUUCGUGUUGUAGUGGUCAGCACGCUCGGCACGUAUUCGAGAGCGCCGUGGUUCGAGUCCCAGCGAGGGCA
rfam:Stegodyphus mimosarum contig40582, whole genome shotgun sequence.